AUUGCAGGCUGCAACCCGCCCUGCAUGAAGUCGGAAUUGCUAGUAAUCGCGGAUCAGCAUGCCGCGGUGAAUACGUUCCCGGGCCUUGUACACACCGCCCGUCACACCAUGGGAGUCGGAAAUGCCCGAAGCCGGUGACCCAACCAAAAGGAGGGAGCCGUCGAAGGCAGGUCUGAUAACUGGGGUGAAGUCGUAACAAGGUAGC
rnacentral:rRNA from 1 species